AGCUUUCUGAAUCUGUGCAAGGAUUUAAUCAGACACCAAUCCAAUAGUGCUGACCAGACUUCCAAGAUAAGUAAAGUU
rnacentral:pre_miRNA from 1 species